rnacentral:rRNA from 1 species
GCCCUUACACGCUGGGCUACACACGUGCUACAAUGGCGGUGACAGUGGGCAGCUACUUCGCGAGAAGAUGCUAAUCUCUAAAAACCGUCUCAGUUCGGAUUGUUCUCUGCAACUCGAGAGCAUGAAGGCGGAAUCGCUAGUAAUCGCGGAUCAGCAUGCCGCGGUGAAUACGUUCCCAGGCCUUGUACACACCGCCCGUCACACCAUGGGAGUUGG